AUACGUAGGGGGCGAGCGUUGUCCGGAAUGAUUGGGCGUAAAGGGCGCGUAGGCGGCGCGGUAAGUCUGGAGUGAAAGUCCUGCUUUCAAGGUGGGAAUUGCUUUGGAUACUGCCGCGCUUGAGUGCAGGAGAGGUUAUCGGAAUUCCCGGUGUAGCGGUGAAAUGCGUAGAGAUCGGGAGGAACACCAGUGGCGAAGGCGGGUAACUGGACUGCAGCUGUCGCUGAGGCGCGAAAGUGUGGGGAGCAAAAAGGAUUAGAUACCCUGGUAGUCCACGCCUUAAACGAUGAAUACUAGGUGUAGGGGGUAUCGACUCCCUCUGUGCCGCAGUUAACACAAUAAGUAUUCCGCCUGGGGAGUACGGCCGCAAGGUUGAAACUCAAAUGAAUUGACGUGG
rnacentral:rRNA from 1 species